GACGAACGCUGGCGGCGUGCCUAAUACAUGCAAGUAGAACGCUGAAGGAGGAGCUUGCUCUUAUGGAUGAGUUGCGAACGGGUGAGUAACGCGUAGGUAACCUGCCUGGUAGCGGGGGAUAACUAUUGGAAACGAUAGCUAAUACCGCAUAACAGUAGAUGUUGCAUGACAUUUACUUAAAAGGUGCAAUUGCAUCACUACCAGAUGGACCUGCGUUGUAUUAGCUAGUUGGUGGGGUAACGGCUCACCAAGGCGACGAUACAUAGCCGACCUGAGAGGGGUGUUCACCACACUAGCAAUGAGACAAGCCACGGACUGACUCGGGAGGUAGCAGUAGGGGUUGUUCGGCAACAGAAGGAAGUGUGACCGAGGAGCUCUGGGUGUGUGCAGAAUGUCGUCGCUGCGUAAAACACUUUUGUUGUAGAAGAACGAGUUGGUGAGUGGGAAGUUCACACUUUGACGGUAUCUGAUCAGAAAGUGACGGCUAACUACGUG
rnacentral:rRNA from 1 species